CUUCAAAGACGGAAACCAAGUCCAGCACCCGGACAGCAGACACGCCCGCAAGGACACUCCGAAACUGGGAUGACCGAUCGGUGCUGCCUUUAACGCGCGCACUGGAAUCAAGACAAACCACCUGGAGCUGUCCUGAUUUUACGCUUUGUUAGACCUUCACCUGGCGCCUGUGUCGAUCGAAGCCAGCGAAAUUUGAGAAUAACUUGAUGACAAGGCUUCUACAAUAAAUUGGGAUUUAAAAAAUAUAGAUUUUGAGAGCAUCUCUUCAGAAACAGGGGGACCUUUGAAUUUGGAUCGACAUACUGUUAAAAGAUACAUGGACUGGAUUUGUAUUCAUUUUACUCAAUGGAACUUUGGAAUAACGCAGUUUUGAAUUGCAAGUCUUCUCAGACUGGUUCAUUUCAUCAACAUAUCUACAUUCGGCUAUGCAUCGGCUACGCGCUCUUGAAAUAAUAAGUACAGCGAACUUAUUUGAAUCAAGCUUGUGGAAUUGUUGAUUGUCCCUCGAAAGCGUUUGAGCUUGGAACACGGAAGAUACGCUUCAAUGGAACUGUUAACUUUUUCAAGAAAUCCCAGAUGGAGGUUUCCCGGUAUCAGGAGGGAAUAACCAGGAAGUCCGGAGUCCUCCAACCAGGAUUUCUGGGAAACCAGGGAAUUUAUUGAAAGUUCCAGGAAUUGAGCAACCCUAAAAGUUCGUCUGAAAGUCUGGGUCGACUGACACACACAAUCAUGGACAGAUCACUGGACCGCUGAGUGCAAUCUUCCUCUUUCUCCUCCUCCUUCCUCUUUCUCCUCCUCCUUCCUCUUUCUCCUCCUCUUCCUCCUCCUCCUCUUCCUCCUUCCUCCUCUUCCUCCUCCUCCUCUUCCUUCUCUUCCUCCUCCUCCUCUUCCCCCAGAGGCUUCAGUGAACAUCCUGAAGGUCCCACCUGGUUGCCAGAGAAUCAGUGAGACAGAAAGACAGAUCGAGAGGUUACAAAAAAACAGAGGUUCCAACAAACCCCCUCUGGUCUUUCUAAUUCAUUUGGUAACCAUGACGACCACUCUUUUUUUCCUCCUUACCUGGGCACCUGGUGAACCCCCAAGUCCAACUGCCAUCAUCGUUGCUGAUUUUGCUGCUGUUACAACUGUUUAGUCAGUGCCCUGCUGCUCCCUCAGGGCCUGAGUCAGAC